UCUUUCGUGGUGUAAUGGUAACAUUGGCGCUUGUCAUUCAUCUGGGUUUCAAACUUAGAUAGUCCGCGCCCGCCCCGAGUUCGAUUCUCGGCGAGAGAG